rnacentral:rRNA from 1 species
CAAAGGAAGCGAUUCCGGCAACGGAUGGGCAUGCGUGACAUUAGCUAGUUGGCGGGGCAACGGCCCACCAAGGCGACGAUGUCUAGGGGUUCUGAGAGGAAGGUCCCCCACACUGGUACUGAGACACGGACCAGACUCCUACGGGAGGCAGCAGUGAGGAAUAUUGGUCAAUGGGCGCGAGCCUGAACCAGCCAAGUCGCGUGAGGGAUGACGGCCCUACGGGUUGUAAACCUCUUUUGUCGGGGAGCAAAUUCCGCCACGCGUGGCGGAGUCGAGAGUACCCGAAGAAAAAGCAUCGGCUAACUCCGUGCCAGCAGCCGCGGUAAUACGGAGGAUGCGAGCGUUAUCCGGAUUUAUUGGGUUUAAAGGGUGCGUAGGCGGACUGUCAAGUCAGCGGUAAAAUACGGGGGCUCAACCUCCGCCCGCCGUUGAAACUGACGGUCUUGAGUGGGCGAGAAGUAUGCGGAAUGCGUGGUGUAGCGGUGAAAUGCAUAGAUAUCACGCAGAACUCCGAUUGCGAAGGCAGCAUACCGGCGCCCAACUGACGCUGAAGCACGAAAGCGUGGGUAUCGAACAGGAUUAGAUACCCUGGUAGUCCACGCAGUAAACGAUGAAUACUAGCUGUCCGGGGCGAAUGAGCUCUGG